AAUAGAUAGUUGUCUCAUCAAUAGAUAGAAAUAGGAGAUUUCCCCUUAUUCUUGAGAGAUUCCCUCUCUAUCUCUUUCGAUCUAUCAGAACAGAUCAGGCUAUCUAUCAAUCGAUUUGAAAAUAGCACGCUCAUCUCGCUUUUCGUUCAUUUUCGUCACGAAAACAUAGCCGCCAUAAUAAGAAGCAGGCGAAGCAGCUAGAAGUACUCGCUUCACGCCCUUGAAUUAUUAUUCACGAAUGAAUUGGGAAAGCCAACAGAAAGAUUCGAUUCUGACUUCGUAGAGCCGGUGCUGCUGUUGCCUGCGCGUAGGGCCGUCCCCCACUCCCGUCCCGGGGCGCUAAGGGGCUUUUGUUUUUGGAACAGACGGCAGUGUUUUGCUGACGCCUCGAAUCAAGCUUUUAUUGCGACAUGCUAUGCUUUCUCCCCCAUUGCUAGUAGGUUGAUGGGUCGCGCGCCCGGCACACAUGUUUUGGCCUUGUGUGUCCAUAACUCAAAAUAGGUGACCUAACGGCCGCCGCCCGACUAAACAUACCAAUAGUCACCAGAUUCAUAUGAGCUACUGAGGAGUA
rnacentral:lncRNA from 1 species